AGAGUUUGAUCCUGGCUCAGAUUGAACGCUGGCGGCAGGCUUAACACAUGCAAGUCGAACGGUAACAGGAGAAAGCUUGCUUUCUUGCUGACGAGUGGCGGACGGGUGAGUAAUGCUUGGGAAUCUGGCUUAUGGAGGGGGAUAACUACGGGAAACUGUAGCUAAUACCGCGUAAUAUCUUCGGAUUAAAGGGUGGGACUUUCGGGCCACCUGCCAUAAGAUGAGCCCAAGUGGGAUUAGGUAGUUGGUGGGGUAAAGGCCUACCAAGCCGACGAUCUCUAGCUGGUCUGAGAGGAUGACCAGCCACACUGGAACUGAGACACGGUCCAGACUCCUACGGGAGGCAGCAGUGGGGAAUAUUGCACAAUGGGGGGAACCCUGAUGCAGCCAUGCCGCGUGAAUGAAGAAGGCCUUCGGGCUGUAAAGUUCUUUCGGUGAUGAGGAAGGUGUUUGUUUUAAUAGAACAAGCAAUUGACGUUAGUCACAGAAGAAGCACCGGCUAACUCCGUGCCAGCAGCCGCGGUAAUACGGAGGGUGCGAGCGUUAAUCGGAAUGACUGGGCGUAAAGGGCACGCAGGCGGUGACUUAAGUGAGAUGUGAAAGCCCCGAGCUUAACUUGGGAAUUGCAUUUCAUACUGGGUCGCUAGAGUAUUUUAGGGAGGGGUAGAAUUCCACGUGUAGCGGUGAAAUGCGUAGAGAUGUGGAGGAAUACCGAAGGCGAAGGCAGCCCCUUGGGAAUAUACUGACGCUCAUGUGCGAAAGCGUGGGGAGCAAACAGGAUUAGAUACCCUGGUAGUCCACGCUGUAAACGCUGUCGAUUUGGGGAUUGGGCUUAGAGCUUGGUGCCCGUAGCU
rnacentral:rRNA from 1 species